UUUGCGCGCCGCCCUUUUUUCCUCCAUAGAUGUUUACAUCCAGUUGUACGCCACAAUCACGACUGCACCCGAAGACAGCGAAUUUAAAGGUUUACAUGUAGUCACUUCUGUAGUGAUGGCAACCGGCGGUGUUUCGAAGGCCCUGACUGCUGCGACCGGCAAUGUAAAUGGCGGACCGUACUACAACUCUCUGCCGGCUGAGAGCCGCAGGCGGUAUGGAGAGAAAAUCGCUGCCAUUAAACGGGAUCCUUACGAAAUUCCAUUAACGGAUUUUUCUACAGAGAGAAGCGACUGGCCAGACGUGACAUACGUCGACGUGGUAAACUACCUGAUUUUUAAAGUCUCUGGAUACACAAAAGAGCAGUUCAAACAUUACAAGUCCAUGGACGCCUACAAGAUUUUCCAGGACGGCGGGCUGAAAGAUAUUCUGCAUUUGAAGAUCGAAGGCUUCCACUUAAUGCGUGCUAAUGUUCAUCAUUCCCUGCGGAUAAGAGAGAAGCCCCCCGGGGCCUUGGGUUAUUUUGUCAUCAGAUGGCACAGUGCAGUAUGCCCAUUGUACAUGUACGUCCGGCCUCGGUGAAGGUUGCAGCCAUAUUGGGGCAGUACUGUUUGGAUUAGAGACUUCUACACGUAUUCAGGAUGAAGCAUCCGUCACCGAUGUUCCAGCAUAUUGGCUUUCCCCAACAGCUACAACAUUUAACACCCCAUACAAGCAGAUCAGAGACAUUGACUUCUCCUCCUCUCCAAAGAGAAGGAAAAUGUUGAACGAUGAAAUUGAGGGGUCAAAACACACAUGUUCAACACAGCCAAGGUGUGCAGUCUUAACCACAACCAAGACAGAAAUGGAAGACUUCAUUGAGCAGCUACAUACUGCUUUGGCAAAAGCUGCAGUCUUGUCGCUGACAGAUAAAUUUUGUUCAGAGUUUGAGCCAAAGGAGGUGCAUUAAACUCAAGCGGGCCCCUCGUGGAAAGUGGGACUGUUCUCAGUGUAAACAGUGAGAAAUUUCUGGUGGAAAAUCAUUGCACAAUAAAGCUGUGGAAAUAAAACCUUGAUGAUUGAUUUGAA